GACGAACGCUGGCGGCGUGCUUAACACAUGCAAGUCGAACGGAAAGGCCCUGCUUUUGUGGGGUGCUCGAGUGGCGAACGGGUGAGUAACACGUGAGUAACCUGCCCUUGACUUUGGGAUAACUUCAGGAAACUGGGGCUAAUACCGGAUAGGAGCUCCUGCUGCAUGGUGGGGGUUGGAAAGUUUCGGCGGUUGGGGAUGGACUCGCGGCUUAUCAGCUUGUUGGUGGGGUAGUGGCUUACCAAGGCUUUGACGGGUAGCCGGCCUGAGAGGGUGACCGGCCACAUUGGGACUGAGCUACGGCCCAGACUCCUACGGGAGGCAGCAGUGGGGAAUAUUGCACAAUGGGCGGAAGCCUGAUGCAGCAACGCCGCGUGCGGGAUGACGGCCUUCGGGUUGUAAACCGCUUUCGCCUGUGACGAAGCGUGAGUGACGGUAAUGGGUAAAGAAGCACCGGCUAUCUACGUG
rnacentral:rRNA from 1 species